CAAACUGCCCGUCAUAUCUAUUCAUAUAGUCCUCGCCAAACCAACGGUAACUUUCGAAAUACGAUUGAAAGGAGUUCAUGAAUGGCCCCUCUCAAACUCUAUCCAAAACCAAGCACUUGCUUACAGCCACAAGAACCCAAUACCUCUCUCUUUUAAAGCACUAUGCAUCCACUCGUUCCCUUACCAAGACUAAACAACUCCAUGCCCAAACCAUCACUGCAGGCCAUCUCUCCUCCUCCCGCCUCCGCUCAAGCCUCGCUGAUGCCUAUAUGCAUUGCGGGUAUAUCCCUCAUGCUCGUAAGCUGUUCGACGAAUUGCCUGAACGAAGUGCACUCUUAUACAAUAACUUGAUGACUAUGUACGUAAAUAGUGGGCUAUAUCUUCAUGCGCUAAAGGCGUAUGUUGAAAUGCUUCAAUCAGGAUUUUGCCUCCCUGACAACUAUACGUAUCCUAUUGUUAUCAAGGCUUGUAGUGAGCUUUCGUUGCUUGGAUUGGGUAGAGUAUUUCACGGGCAGACAGUGGUGUCCAUGUUUGGUUCUUACACCUAUGUGCAAAAUUCCUUACUGGCAAUGUAUAUGAAUUGUGGGAAGAAGGAGGCAGCACAGAGAGUUUUUGAUGCGAUGAAGGAGAGGAGUGUGGUGUCUUGGAAUACUAUGAUUAGCGGCUAUUUCAAAAAUGGGUGUGCCAAGACUGCUUUAAUGGUUUUUAAUCAGAUGGUUGAUUUUGGGGUUGAGAUUGAUUGUGCUACUGUGGUUUCUGUGUUGCCAGCUUGUGGAUAUUUGAGAGAAUUGGAGUUGGGAAGAAGGGUUCAUGCAUUACUGGAAGAUAAGGGUUUGGGUAAGAAAACAGCAGUAAGGAAUGCAUUGGUCGAUAUGUAUGCAAAAUGCAAUAGCAUGGCUGAAGCAAGGUUAGUUUUUGACAGGAUAGAUGAAAAGGAUGUGAUUAGUUGGACUUCCAUGAUUAACGGGUACAUUUUGAAUGAUGACGUGAGAAGUGCUUUGAUGCUUUGUAGGAUCAUGCAGACUGAAGGGAUAAGACCCAAUUCUGUGACUAUAGCCUCAAUUCUUUCAGCUUGCGAUAAUUUGAGGGACGGUUGUUGUUUGCACGGGUGGACAAUAAGGCAAAAUCUCGAUCUGGAAGUUAUUGUAAUUACUUCAUUGAUUGACAUGUAUGCAAAAUGCCAUCGUGUGGACCUUAGCUUUGGAGUCUUCACAAGAACUUCAACAAAUAGAACAGCUCCAUGGAAUGCAAUGCUCUCUGGGUGCAUUCAUAACGGUCUUGCAACUGAGGCGAUAGGACUUUUCAAGCAAAUGCUAGUAAAAGGAGUUGAACCAGAUGGUGCAACAAUGAACAGUCUACUUCCAGCAUAUGCCAUUCUUGCUGAUUUGCAGCCAUCGAAGAACAUACAUGGUUACCUAACAAGGUCUGGGUUUCUUUCAGGAAUAGAAGUUGCUACAUGUGUGAUUGACAUAUAUUCCAAGUGUGGAAGUCUAGAAUCCGCUCACCAGAUUUUUAAUGCUAUCCCCAUAGAUGUCAAGGAUAUUUUCGUGUGGAGUGUAAUAGUAUCUGGUUAUGGAAUGCAUGGUCAUGGUGAGACUGCUGUUUCACUUUUCAGACAAAUGGUUUGGUCUGGGGUGAAACCAAAUGAAGUUACUUUUACUUCUGUAUUGCAUGCUUGCAGUCAUGCUGGUUUGGUGGAUGAGGGUUUGUGUUUGUUUGAAUUCAUGCUCAAAGACCACAAGAUGCAACCUCAUGAUGAUCACUACACUUGCAUUGUUGAUCUGCUUGGUCGUGCAGGUCGAUUUGAUGAAGCAUAUGAUCUUAUUAGAACAAUGCCUUUUGUACCUAGCCAUGCUGUUUGGGGUGCAUUGCUUGGUGCUUGUGUAAUACAUGGUAAUGUUGAAGUGGGUGAAGUUGCAGCACAACACGUUUUUGAGCUUGAGCCAGAGAACACAGGAAACUACAUACUGCUGGCAAAACUUUAUGCUGCAGUGGGAAGAUGGGAAGAUGCAGAAAAUGUGAGACAUAUGAUGAAUGACAUAGGAUUGAGAAAAGCACCAGCCCACAGUUUGAUUGAUGCCGUAAAUAUAUGAAAUGUAACAUUUUGUUACGUCAAAUGGAAAAACUCAUCAGCUUGCUAUGGGGUUCAUGUAUAGAUGAAUAUAUGCUACAUCCAAAGCCUGGGUGAACAUCCAUAUUGAAGAGCAUAUGAUCACGUAAUCGCUAAUCAUUGUAUAUGAAGGGCUCAUUUGGUUGAACCAAAGGAGUUUUCUGAAAGUGGAAGCAAGGAAUGCCUUCCUAACUAACUUAUGAUUGUGAUGAAUCAGAUAUUUCAACGGUACAGCAUUGCAAGUGCAGAAGCAACUCAUUGGUCAAACAAAUUGGCAACGUUUUGCUAAAAAUUUUCAUGGUUAUCUUUUCUUGAAUUAUGUUUAAUGUCUGGAAUGGGCUCCUCUCUGGUAUUAUUGAGAAACAGAACUGGUUAGAGUGGAAGCAUGGGUGAUAUUAUGGAAUGUCAAGAUAGCCUGAGUCAGGGCGAGUAGGUUGCAUGAUAUACCUGUUUAGCAUGGCUUAUUACCAGGCCAUGUCAAAUCUAUGCGGAUUAGCUGUCGAGAUAUGCUGAGGUGAUUUAUACUAUAUAUAGAUCUCAUUAUGAUAAAGUUGAUGUGAAGCACUAUGUAGGUUUUAACUUACUUGAUUUUAUUUGGAUUCCACCGCCCCUGCCUUCUAUCAUAUUGCAUGUAAGACUUCGGGAAUUGAAAUGUUUGUGGGGUAUUAUUCUUAAAAUAUCUCUGCUUGUGAACCUAUUUUUCCUUUCUUUAACAAGUAUAUAUGUCUUUUUCCCUU
rnacentral:misc_RNA from 1 species